GGGGAGGACAUGAGAAGGGGUUUUGGGGGUGAGGAUGCGUAGUGGGUGAGGGAGGGAUGAUGUGAAGAUGUCAGGGGUCAAGGAGUGAGGAUAUGAUGUGAGGGAGUAAGACUGUGAGGAUGAAAAACGUGAGGGGGUCAGGGAACGGGGGGUGUAAAGAUGUGAGGUUGUGAGGGGUGAGGGUGCAGAGAAUGGUGAAUGAGUGAGGGUGUCAAGAUGUGAGGGCUGGGGGUGCAAAGGGAGGUGAGGUUGUGACGAUGUGAGGGAGUGAGAAGGUGAGGAUGUGAAGGUUUAAGAAUGUGAGGGUGAAAGAGUGGGUGGGGGUUAGGGCGUAUGUAAGGGUGUGAGGAGGUGAAGGGCUGAGGGUUGGAGUGGGUGGGGGGGGGUGCAGGAUUGUGUUGUGUAAUACUGACCCUCACCAAACACUCCCUAAUCAAAGUGUAAGAUGGCAACAGUGAUCCCCGGUCAUUCCUUCAUAAAGCUAUGGUCCGUCUGCUCCCAGUGCAUACGCUCGUAGGAAAGGAAUAAGUAGUUUCUUAAUAUUCAAACCAAAAGAUCAUUAAUAUGUUAUAAAACACUAACUCGCAUUAACAAAACUCCCUCGACCGUCAAAGUGAUUUUUUUUUAGAGCAAGAGAGACAGCUCAAGGGCACAAAACAAAACGUCAGCGAAAUAGCGCUCUAGGCAUUCCUGUGAAGAUAAAUCAAGGUUCGUUCUCAAGGUGCAAGGCUGAGGGACUUUGCUGGUUUUUUUUUUUUUUUUUUUUUUUUUUUUUUACAACAAAGGAGGCACCUCAAGGGCACACACACAAAAAGAAAACAAUAAUAAAAAAAGCCCGCUACUCGCUGCUCCCAAAAAAGAAUUAAAAGAGGUGGCCGAAAGAAAGAUGAUGUAGAGUUUCUCGUCCAAAUGUGCGGAAAAACAGAUUGCACGUGUAAGCUCUCCCCUUCAUGAGACAGCACAAGAGGUAAUU